rnacentral:rRNA from 1 species
AGUGAACGCUGGCGGUAGGCCUAACACAUGCAACUCGAACGGCAGCACAGUAAGUGCUUGCUCUUACGGGUGGCGAGUGGCGGACGGGUGAGGAAUACAUCGGAAUCUACUUUUUCGUGGGGGAUAACGUAGGGAAACUUACGCUAAUACCGCAUACGACCUACGGGUGAAAGCAGGGGAUCUUCGGACCUUGCGCGAUUGAAUGAGCCGAUGUCGGAUUAGCUAGUUGGCGGGGUAAAGGCCCACCAAGGCGACGAUGCGUAGCUGGUCUGAGGGGAUGGUCAGCCACCCGGUACCUGGGACACGGUCCAGACUCCUACGGGAGGCAGCAGUCGGGAAUAUUGGGCAAUGGGGGCAAGCCUGAUCCAGCCAUACCGCGUGUGUGAAGAAGGCCUUCGGGUUGUAAAGCCCUUUUGUUGGGAAAGAAAAGCAGCAGGUUAAUACCCCGCUGUUCUGACGGUACCCAAAGAAUAAGCACCGGCUAACUUCGUG